rnacentral:rRNA from 1 species
GACGAACGCUGGCGGCGUGCCUAACACAUGCAAGUAGAACGCUGAAGCGAGGAGCUUGCUCUUCUUGGAUGAGUUGCGAACGGGUGAGUAACGCGUAGGUAACCUGCCUUGUAGCGGGGGAUAACUAUUGGAAACGAUAGCUAAUACCGCAUAACAAUGGAUGACACAUGUCAUUUAUUUGAAAGGGGCAAUUGCUCCACUACAAGAUGGACCUGCGUUGUAUUAGCUAGUAGGUGAGGUAAUGGCUCACCUAGGCGACGAUACAUAGCCGACCUGAGAGGGUGAUCGGCCACACUGGGACUGAGACACGGCCCAGACUCCUACGGGAGGCAGCAGUAGGGAAUCUUCGGCAAUGGGGGCAACCCUGACCGAGCAACGCCGCGUGAGUGAAGAAGGGUUUCGGAUCGUAAAGCUCUGUUGUAAGUCAAGAACGGGUGUGAGAGUGGAAAGUUCACACUGUGACGGUAGCUUACCAGAAAGGGACGGCUAACUACGUG